rnacentral:rRNA from 1 species
AAUAAGGACCGGCUAACUCCGUGCCAGCAGCCGCGGUAAUACGGAGGAUCCAAGCGUUAUCCGGAUUUAUUGGGUUUAAAGGGUCCGCAGGCGGUAAAUUAAGUCAGAGGUGAAAUCCUACACCUCAACUGUUGAACUGCCUUUGAAACUGGAAGACUUGAGUAAUUUUGAAGUGGGCGGAAUUUGUCGUGUAUCGGUGAAAUGCAUACAUAUGACACGGAAUACCAAUGGCGAAGGCAGAUCACUAAAAAAAUACUGACGCUCAUGGACAAAAGCGUGGGGAGCGAACAGGAUUAGAUACCCUGGUAGUCCACGCCGUAAACGAUGGAUACUACCUGUUGGGCAUUCAUGUUAAGUGUUUAAGCUAAAGCGAUAAGUAAUCCACCUGGGGAGUACGAUCUCAAAGAUGAAACUCAAAGGAAUUU